rnacentral:rRNA from 1 species
GUGUCAGCCGCCGCGGUAAGACGGAGGGCGCAAGCGUUGUUCGGAAUCACUGGGCGUAAAGCGCGCGCGGGCGGAUGGACAAGUCGGAAGUGAAAGACCGGGGCUCAACUCCGGACCCGCUUUCGAGACUGUUCGUCUAGGGACUGGUAGGGGCGGGUGGAAUUCCCGGUGUAGCGGUGGAAUGCGUAGAGAUCGGGAAGAACACCGGUGGCGAAGGCGGCCCGCUGGGCCAGAUCCGACGCUGAGGCGCGAAAGCGUGGGGAGCAAACAGGAUUAGAUACCCUCGUAGUCC